AGCGUGGAGACAGGUGGUGCAUGGCUGUCGUCAGCUCGUGUCGUGAGAUGUUGGGUUAAGUCCCGCAACGAGCGCAACCCUCACCCCUUGUUGCCAUCAGGUCACGCUGGGCACUCUAGGGGAACUGCCCCGGUCAACGGGGAGGAAGGUGGGGACGACGUCAAGUCAUCAUGCCCCUUACGUCCUGGGCUACACACGUGCUACAAUGGCCGGUACAAAGGGAUGCAAGACCGUGAGGUGGAGCUAAACCCAAAAAGCCGGUCUAAGUUCAGAUUGGAGUCUGCAACUCGACUCCAUGAAGGAGGAAUCGCUAGUAAUCGCGCAUCAGCACGGCGCGGUGAGUACGUUCCCGGGCCUUGUACACACCGCCCGUCACACCACGAAAGCCAGCUGUACUCGAAGUCGCUGAG
rnacentral:rRNA from 1 species